rnacentral:pre_miRNA from 1 species
UUUCAUUGAUGAUAUGUACAAAAAGGGUUAUAUUAUUCCAUUUUAUUAAUCCAUAGGAUUGACCGGCUAUUUGGUUUGUGUUAAUAGAAUAAGGAUAACUUACGCCUGUUACCCCUCGUCGAGGAGC